rnacentral:rRNA from 1 species
AACGAACGCUGGCGGCAGGCCUGACACAUGCAAGUCGAGCGCCCCGCCAGGGGAGCGGCGGACGGGUGAGUAACGCGUGGGAAUAUGCCCUUUGCUACGGAAUAGUCUCGGGAAACUGGGGGUAAUACCGUAUACGCCCUUUGGGGGAAAGAUUUAUCGGCGAAGGAUUAGCCCGCGUUGGAUUAGGUAGUUGGUGGGGUAAUGGCCUACCAAGCCGACGAUCCAUAGCUGGUUUGAGAGGAUGAUCAGCCACACUGGGACUGAGACACGGCCCAGACUCCUACGGGAGGCAGCAGUGGGGAAUCUUAGACAAUGGGGGCAACCCUGAUCCAGCCAUGCCGCGUGAGUGAUGAAGGCCUUAGGGUUGUAAAGCUCUUUCAGCUGGGAAGAUAAUGACGGUACCAGCAGAAGAAGCCCCGGCUAACUCCGUG